rnacentral:rRNA from 1 species
UACGAAGGGGGCGAGCGUUGUUCGGAUUUACUGGGCGUAAAGGGCGCGCAGGCGGCUCAUUUUGUCAGGCGUGAAAGCCCCGGGCUUAACCUGGGAACUGCGUUUGAUAAGGAUGGGCUAGAGUUCGGGAGAGGAGAGUGGAAUUCCCAGUGUAGAGGUGAAAUUCGUAGAUAUUGGGAAGAACACCGGUGGCGAAGGCGGCUCGCUGGACCGAGACUGACGCUGAGGCGCGAAAGCGUGGGGAGCAAACAGG